rnacentral:rRNA from 1 species
AAUGGGGGAAACCCUGACGCAGCAACGCCGCGUGGGUGAAGAAGCAUCUUGGUGUGUAAAGCCCUGUCAACGGGGAAUAAUUUCACAGUCUAAGAGAUGGUGAGAUUGAAGGUACCCGUGGAGGAAGCCCCGGCUAACUCCGUGCCAGCAGCCGCGGUAAUACGGAGGGGGCAAGCGUUAUUCGGAAUUACUAGGCGUAAAGAGCGCGCGGGCGGCGCAUUAAGUGAGAAGUGAAAGACCUGGGCCUAACCCAGGAGUGGCUUCUCAUACUGAUGUGCUAGAGGAUGGGAGAGGAAAGCGGAAUUCCCGGUGUAGCGGUGAAAUGCGUAGAGAUCGGGAGGAACACCAGUGGCGAAGCGGCUUUCUGGACCAUUACUGACGCUGAGGCGCGAAAGCGUGGGGAGCAAACAGGAUU